GACAGAAAUAAAAUCAAAUUUAUAAUUAUAGUGACUUUUUAAAUAGUUUUGAAAAGCCGCAGGUACGUAAUUCUAAAUGUUUUAGUUGUAUUCCAAUAAAAAAUUCAUACCUAUCUAUUUGAAAAAUGUAAAAAAA
rnacentral:lncRNA from 1 species